ensembl:lncRNA
CGAACUCCAGGCGGAGCCUGCCUCUUCUCGCGAGACCGCGGCCACCUCGCUCGUGUCCCGACUUUCGAAAUCGGCGUGUCGGGGUGGGGGGAACUCCCUGUGCCGUCGCGCGCGGCUGGCCUGCGCGGAGGCCCGGAUUUACCAAGAUGAUCGAGAAAUAGGGCCAGUAGGGAGGCUGAGCAGGAGUAGCCUGGAUCCCUGCCCGUUUGACACAUGCGGACUUCCACCACUGGAAGACUGGAGGAAAGGGCUCUGCGACCCUGACUGACCCAAAGCCAGCCGCCUUAUGGGGACAGCGUCAAGAUAUCUUGACAGGAUGGAAAAUACGUGCAGAACCUGUUGUUAUAAUAGAAAAUUGAGCUGUAGUCUAUGUUAUAGGUUCUGACCAAAGGAACUUCUUGAGUUAAUAUUAACUUAAGGGACUCCCUUGGGCAAAGUACUGACAGUGGCCAAAGGCCCUUCGGUCUGACCAUCUUCCGAGAACCAGAGCUGCUGUAAAGACAGUUCCUCUGCACUCUGACCACUGCCACGUUCUCAGGUCCUAGUCUAAGGGGGCCCAUUGUGAAGCCAAAAAGAUGGCAAUUGUUUCGUCUCGAUGGCUUUAAUGAUAAAUCCAUUCGCUGCUUGUACAAACUGCCUGACCUUAAGGACAGAUCGAAUAUUUUCUGGUAAAAUAGGCUAAAACGGUUGUUACUGACCUUUAAAAGUAUUUUGAUCACAUGAAGUCUUUCAAGUCACAACCAAAAAAAAAAAAAAAAAAAAAAAGUCCAUAGUGCAUCCUUAACCAUGUUGACUUAUCACAUUGUGUGGUCACUGUUAGAGUAGGUGACAUAAUAAACUGGAAGAACCAUUGUGUAUUCCCAAAGGUGUGAUUAUCUAGUAAGUAUGUCUUUAGGCCAUAUUAAAAGUAGAACAGUUUUAUCCUCGGCUUAAAUCCAGUUUUUCAUGCACUUCUGACAGGUUAGAAUACAUAGUAAAAUUACAGACAUUUUUAGAGAAUCUUGUGCUUUAUGUCUACAACUACUACAAUCCAUGCACCUACUUUGAUUAUUUGAAUUUUAGGUUAUGGUUGGUAAUGAAUAUUGAGCCAAUAUAUAAGUAGCUGCCAACUUUAAUAUUUUCACUAUUAAAUACACACCAGGUACUAGCAAAGAAUUAGGCUAUGAAGAAAAUGGCAGUUGACAAGCUAGGAUACCUUGUUUUCACUAUAAUGGCUAUAUUUGAUAUGGCAGUAAAAUCAGUGGCAUGUUAUUUAAAUUAGUACAUCUGAAAACCUGUAAGUUGGAUUUUCCUUUUCAUGAUCUGAUAGUGUGAAAUUCUAUUUAAUCAAUUAAAAAUAGAAACACAAGCCCAGCAUGGUAGCACAGACCUGCAAGCCCAGCACUUGGAGAGACCAAGGCAGGGAGUUUAUCAUAAAUUCAAGGCCAAACUGGAUUGCACAGACCCUUUCUCAAAAUAGGAAUUAAGUAAAAAUACCUUUUUAAUAAACAUAAAUGAAAAUGUAAGCUCCUUAAAGGUAGGGAUUUUGUCUCAUCUGUAUUCCUGGCACCUGUACCUGACAGAGCUCAGUAAAUUGUGGUCUUUCUCUUCUGAAAAAUCAGAGGGAGUUUUGCCUACUAAUUCUGAUUUUGUGAGCUCAGUAGCUUUUCUUUAGAACAUUAGGAAUUGGAGUGGAGAAAAACAGUGUACACUUUGUCCUUUUUAGUUAACACCUGUGAUUAUCAAGAUAUAAACUUAGUGAGACUAGAAAAGUAUGGAGGACUGAGGGUAUAAUGGUAGAACACUUGGUCUAGCAGGCUCAAAGCCCAAGGUUCAGUAUCCAGUACCACAGAAAUAAAUACCAUAAUAUCAAAUAAAAAAGUGCUAGACAUGGUACACAUCCCAACAUGCCAGAGGGAGAGGCAGGUAGAUCUCAGUGAGUUCCAAGCCAGCCUGUCCUAUUUAGUGACACCCCGUCUCAGAAAAAAAAAAAAAAAGUUAUUGACAAUAAGCAACAGACCAAAUGAGAUGUUCACUGUCAUAAGAUAACUACUUUCCCUAAAUGAAUAUACUAGUUUAUACUAGGCAUAAACUAUUAUGCCUCUUUUGGCUGCUCCAAUAGAUAAACUGUGAGGUACUGGUACAGUGUGUGACACAGCAGAAAAAUCAACUUUCCUAGUCAUGCUUAAUUUACAUACUAUAAUCUUAUUGGCUAAAUUUCAAGUCUUAUUUUUUACUUGAAAAUAAAAUCAGAUAUAAUUGUAGUCAGCAAAUACAAAGUCAUAUUAACACUAAAUUAGCCAUUAAAUUAAGAAAUUGAAGUAAACAAAACACAUUUAUUACUCAGUAUAUUUACAUUAAAAAAUAUAUUGAGGGCAGGAGAGAUGGCUCAGCAGUUAAGAGCAUUGACUGCUCUUCCAGAGGUCCUGAGUUCAAUUUUCAGCAACCACAUGGUGGCUUAUAACCUUCUGUAAUGGCAUACGAUGCCCUCUUCUGGAGUGUCUGAAGAUAGCUACAGUGUACUCAAUAAAAUUAAAAAAAAAAAAUUUUUUUUUGAGAUUUAGGGAUGUGGCUCAGUACAAUGCUCGCCCAGGAUACUUGAAGUUCUGAUUCACAGCACCACAAAACAUAUAGUCUAUAAUAUGAAGACAACUAGUUUAAAAUAGCAAACCUGUAUCUAAACUACCCAAAUAAUUUAGAUGGCUAAUAAUUACUAAAUUAAAAACCCUGACCAUCUUCCAAGUGUCGAAACUACCAACAAGUGGGUGUGGGGGCUCAUGCCUGAAAUCCCAGCAUUGAGCCUGAGGUAGGAGUACAACUGUGAGCUCCGGGCAAAGCAAAAUCCUGUGAACAAGCUCUUUAAAAUACUGCUGUUUUCUAACUUCCAAUAAGUAACAAGACUUUGUUUGCUUCUCUUUUUUUCCCCCAAGGGUCCCUGCACAUAG